CAGGUGCUUUGAGGGGAGGAAGCAAGCUGCCUGAGGGGGAGCUGUACAACAGUCACCUAACUCACCUGGGUGCGGAAGUCAUCUGGGGUCCCGAAGGCUCAGUCGGGGCUCAUAAAUCUCUGUUUGUGAUGACAUAAUCGGUUACGAGAGGAAUGUGGUGGUAUUGCCAGCCG
rnacentral:lncRNA from 1 species